AUUUAAGGUGAUUUUAAAAUUUUAAGAAAAAUUAUAUAUUUAAAUAAAAUUAUAGAAGUUUUUUAUUUUGAGUAUUGAUAAGAAAAAAAAAUUAAUAAAUUUUAAAUUGUAGAAGAUUGGAUAAAAUAUAAAGAAGAAAAUUUAAUUAAUUGUACCUUUUGUAUCAGGGAUUAUUAAAAUAUAAAGUUAAAAUAAAUUAAUCUCGAAUUAAAAAGAGUUAAUUUAAAAUUAUAGUUAAUGUGGAAAAAUUAUUAUAAAUUUUAAGUUAGAAAUGAAAUGUUAAUCGAUUUUUAAGAUAUCUAGUUUUUUAAUAUAAAAAUUUAAUUUUUUUAUAAAUUUAAUUGUUGAUAAAUUUUAAAUUGAUAAUUAUUUUAUAAUAAAAAGUUUAUGGGAUUAUCUAUAAAUUAAAAUUAAAUAAAAAUUUAAUAAUUAAAACUUUAGAAAUUAAAAUUUUUAAAAUUUAUAAGUUUAUAAUAAUUUAUUAUUUUUAUAGAUUUAAUUUAAAAAUUUAUUAAUUUAAUAUUAAAAUAAAUUUUAAAAUUUUAUAAAAAUAAUAAUAAUGAUAAUAUUAGUAUAAUAAUAUGUAAAAUAAAUUAAAUUAUUAAAUUAAUUUAAGGAAUUAAGCAAAAUUUUAAAGUUCACUUGUUUAUCAAAAACAUGUUUUUUUGAAAUUAAUAAAAAAUUUUCUCUGCCCAAUGAAUUUUUAAAUGGCCGCAGUAUUUUGACUGUGCAAAGGUAGCAUAAUAAAUAGUUUUUUAAUUGAAGACUAGAAUGAAUGAGAGGAUGAAAUUUUAACUGUCUCAAUUUAAUUAUAAAAUUUUAUUUUAAGUUAAAAUUCUUAAAUGAAUUUGAGGGACGAGAAGACCCUAUAGAAUUUGAAAAUUUAAUUUAAUUAAUAAAAUAAAAAUUAUAUUUAAUUAUUUUAAUAUUUUUUUAUUGGGAUGAUAUUAAAAUUUAAAAAACUUUUAAUUUUAAAAUUCAAUAAUUAAUGAAUUAAUGAAAUGUUUUUAUAAAAAGAAAAAAUUACCUUAGGGAUAACAGCGUAAUAAGUUUUUAAAGUUCAUAUUAAAAAAUUUGAUUGCGACCUCGAUGUUGAAUUAAAAUAAAAUUUAAGUGAAGGAGCUUAAAAUUUAAGUCUGUUCGACUUUUAAAAUUUUACAUGAUUUG
rnacentral:rRNA from 1 species